AUGCAAGGUAGCCCAGCUAAGAGCGCGACGUCCUGUCGCAACGCUGGACACUGUACAUCCUGUACG
rnacentral:sRNA from 1 species